AAGGAUAACAUGUCACUGUGGCCAAACUUAAGAAUGAGAGAUAGAAAGUGCAGCGUGUCUUUGACUUUUACGCGUUUUUUUGUGUCCCUAUCAAGAGAGAGAUUGGUCCAUCUAUGGAUUCGAGUCGUCGAUCAUAUACGCAUACCUAACUGUACAGAUAUAUAUACACUUCUUCUCUUUCCUCUGACCUUCACUAUUUCGCUCCGUCGCACGCAAUUUCCUUCUUCUUCAAGAAACGCAGCCUCUGAACCAGUCAAAUUAAAUGUCGAUCAAUCCAUCCUUGAUCGUCCGCAACUAUAUAUUAUAGCGAUUCAGUUCUCAGAGGCCAAAGAUCGAAACUUGGCGUGUGUAUAGUUCGCGAAUCAAAGAGCCCAGUAAGAGAGUGAUGGCC
rnacentral:lncRNA from 1 species